UCUUGUACGGCGAGUGACCGGGAUGAGCUCAAAUUUAAAAUCUGGCGUCUUUCAGGCGUCCGAGUUGUAAUCUAUAGAGGCGUUUUCCGCGCCGGACCGCGUCCAAGUCUCUUGGAAUAGAGUAUCAAAGAGGGUGACAAUCCCGUACUUGACGCGACAACCGGUGCUCUGUGAUACGUUCUCAAUGAGUCGAGUUGUUUGGGAAUGCAGCUCUAAAUGGGUGGUAAAUUCCAUCUAAGGCUAAAUAUUGGCGAGAGACCGAUAGCGAACAAGUACCGUGAGGGAAAGAUGAAAAGCACUUUGGAAAGAGAGUUAAACAGCACGUGAAAUUGUUAAAAGGGAAACGAUUGAAGUCAGUCGUGUGAAAGGUAUUCAGCCGUCUCUGGCGGUGUAUUUGCCUUUCACGGGUCAACAUCAGUUUGAUCCGGUAGAAAAAGGCGGGAGGAAGGUGGCACCCUCGGGUGUGUUAUAGCCUCCUGUCAUAUGUGCCGGACCAGACUGAGGAACGCAGCUUGCCGCAAGGCCGGGGUUCGCCCACGUACAAGCUUAGGAUGUUGACAUAAUGGCUUUAAACGACCCGUCUUA
rnacentral:rRNA from 1 species